GGGUUGUGAGGUUAAGCGACUAAGCGUACACGGUGGAUGCCCUGGCAGUCAGAGGCGAUGAAGGACGUGCUAAUCUGCGAAAAGCGUCGGUAAGGUGAUAUGAACCGUUACAGCCGGCGAUGUCCGAAUGGGGAAACCCAGUGUGAUUCGUCACACUAUCGUUAACUGAAUACAUAGGUUAACGAGGCGAACCGGGGGAACUGAAACAUCUAAGUACCCCGAGGAAAAGAAAUCAACCGAGAUUCCCCCAGUAGCGGCGAGCGAACGGGGAGCAGCCCAGAGUCUGAAUCAGCUUGUGUGUUAGUGGAACGGUCUGGAAAGUCCGACGGUACAGGGUGAUAGUCCCGUACACCAAAAUGCACAGGCUGUGAACUCGAAGAGUAGGGCGGGACACGUGGUAUCCUGUCUGAAUAUGGGGGGACCAUCCUCCAAGGCUAAAUACUCCUGACUGACCGAUAGUGAACCAGUACCGUGAGGGAAAGGCGAAAAGAACCCCGGCGAGGGGAGUGAAAAAGAACCUGAAACCGUGUACGUACAAGCAGUGGGAGCACCUUCGGGUGUGACUGCGUACCUUUUGUAUAAUGGGUCAGCGACUUAUAUUCUGUAGCAAGGUUAACCGUAUAGGGGAGCCGCAGGGAAACCGAGUCUUAACUGGGCGUUAAGUUGCAGGGUAUAGACCCGAAACCCGGUGAUCUAGCCAUGGGCAGGUUGAAGGUUGGGUAACACUAACUGGAGGACCGAACCGACUAAUGUUGAAAAAUUAGCGGAUGACUUGUGGCUGGGGGUGAAAGGCCAAUCAAACCGGGAGAUAGCUGGUUCUCCCCGAAAGCUAUUUAGGUAGCGCCUCGUGAACUCAUCUUCGGGGGUAGAGCACUGUUUCGGCUAGGGGGUCAUCCCGACUUACCAACCCGAUGCAAACUACGAAUACCGAAGAAUGUUAUCACGGGAGACACACGGCGGGUGCUAACGUCCGUCGUGAAGAGGGAAACAACCCAGACCGCCAGCUAAGGUCCCAAAGUCAUGGUUAAGUGGGAAACGAUGUGGGAAGGCACAGACAGCCAGGAUGUUGGCUUAGAAGCAGCCAUCAUUUAAAGAAAGCGUAAUAGCUCACUGGUCGAGUCGGCCUGCGCGGAAGAUGUAACGGGGCUAAACCAUGCACCGAAGCUGCGGCAGCGACACGAUGUGUUGUUGGGUAGGGGAGCGUUCUGUAAGCCUGCGAAGGUGACCUGUGAGGGUUGCUGGAGGUAUCAGAAGUGCGAAUGCUGACAUAAGUAACGAUAAAGCGGGUGAAAAGCCCGCUCGCCGGAAGACCAAGGGUUCCUGUCCAACGUUAAUCGGGGCAGGGUGAGUCGACCCCUAAGGCGAGGCCGAAAGGCGUAGUCGAUGGGAAACAGGUUAAUAUUCCUGUACUUGGUGUUACUGCGAAGGGGGGACGGAGAAGGCUAUGUUAGCCGGGCGACGGUUGUCCCGGUUUAAGCAUGUAGGCUGGUUGUCCAGGCAAAUCCGGAUAAUCAAGGCUGAGGUGUGAUGACGAGGCACUACGGUGCUGAAGUAACAAAUGCCCUGCUUCCAGGAAAAGCCUCUAAGCAUCAGGUAACAUCAAAUCGUACCCCAAACCGACACAGGUGGUCAGGUAGAGAAUACCAAGGCGCUUGAGAGAACUCGGGUGAAGGAACUAGGCAAAAUGGUGCCGUAACUUCGGGAGAAGGCACGCUGGUGUGUAGGUGAAGUCCCUGCGGAUGGAGCUGAGACCAGUCGAAGAUACCAGCUGGCUGCAACUGUUUAUUAAAAACACAGCACUGUGCAAACACGAAAGUGGACGUAUACGGUGUGACGCCUGCCCGGUGCCGGAAGGUUAAUUGAUGGGGUUAUCCGUAAGGAGAAGCUCUUGAUCGAAGCCCCGGUAAACGGCGGCCGUAACUAUAACGGUCCUAAGGUAGCGAAAUUCCUUGUCGGGUAAGUUCCGACCUGCACGAAUGGCGUAAUGAUGGCCAGGCUGUCUCCACCCGAGACUCAGUGAAAUUGAACUCGCUGUGAAGAUGCAGUGUACCCGCGGCAAGACGGAAAGACCCCGUGAACCUUUACUAUAGCUUGACACUGAACAUUGAGCCUUGAUGUGUAGGAUAGGUGGGAGGCUUUGAAGCGUGGACGCCAGUCUGCGUGGAGCCAACCUUGAAAUACCACCCUUUAAUGUUUGAUGUUCUAACGUUGGCCCCUUACCGGGGUUGCGGACAGUGUCUGGUGGGUAGUUUGACUGGGGCGGUCUCCUCCCAAAGCGUAACGGAGGAGCACGAAGGUUAGCUAAUCCUGGUCGGACAUCAGGAGGUUAGUGCAAUGGCAUAAGCUAGCUUGACUGCGAGCGUGACGGCGCGAGCAGGUGCGAAAGCAGGUCAUAGUGAUCCGGUGGUUCUGAAUGGAAGGGCCAUCGCUCAACGGAUAAAAGGUACUCCGGGGAUAACAGGCUGAUACCGCCCAAGAGUUCAUAUCGACGGCGGUGUUUGGCACCUCGAUGUCGGCUCAUCACAUCCUGGGGCUGAAGUAGGUCCCAAGGGUAUGGCUGUUCGCCAUUUAAAGUGGUACGCGAGCUGGGUUUAGAACGUCGUGAGACAGUUCGGUCCCUAUCUGCCGUGGGCGCUGGAGAAUUGAGGGGGGCUGCUCCUAGUACGAGAGGACCGGAGUGGACGCAUCACUGGUGUUCGGGUUGUCAUGCCAAUGGCACUGCCCGGUAGCUAAAUGCGGAAGAGAUAAGUGCUGAAAGCAUCUAAGCACGAAACUUGCCCCGAGAUGAGUUCUCCCUGAGACUUUAAGUCUCCUGAAGGAACGUUAAAGACGAUGACGUUGAUAGGCCGGGUGUGUAAGCGCAGCGAUGCGUUGAGCUAACCGGUACUAAUGAACCGUGAGGCUUAACCUUACAACGCCGAAG
rnacentral:rRNA from 1 species